GACCUUUUGAAGUUAUAUAAGGUCUGGCCUGCCCAAUGAGGAAUUGAAUGGCUGCGGUAUUCUAACCGUGCUAAGGUAGCAUAAUCAUUUGUCUUUUAAUUAAGGGCUAGUAUGAAAGGUUGGAUGAAAUAAUGACUUUCUUUAAUUUAAUUUAUGAAUUUAAUUUUUAGGUUAAAAAGCUAAAAUGUUUUUAUAGGACGAGAAGACCCUAUAGAUCUUUAUAAUUUGUUGAAUAUAAUGAUUUAGUGAAUUAUUUAUUAUUAUUUAAUAGAUUGUUUGGUUGGGGUGAUUGUGGAAUUUUUUUAACUUCUAUUUUUAUUUUUCAAAUAUUCUUGUUUUUUUGAUCCAUCAGUGAUGAUUAAAAGAUUAAU
rnacentral:rRNA from 1 species